AGUGCCACGUGGGGGAUGAUCCAGUUGCUUUGAUGAAGCAGAGCUCAAAAUUAGAUUUUUGGUACUU
rnacentral:tRNA from 1 species